rnacentral:rRNA from 1 species
CACGUAGGGUGCGAGCGUUGUCCGGAAUUAUUGGGCGUAAAGAGCUCGUAGGCGGUGUGUCGCGUCGGCCGUGAAAACCUGCAGCUUAACUGGUGGGCGUGCGGUCGAUACGGGCAUCACUGGAGGUUCGGCAGGGGAGACUGGGAAUUCCUGGUGUAGCGGUGAAAUGCGCGAGAUAUCAGGGAGGAACACCGGUGGGCGGAAGGCGGGUCUCUGGGCCGAUGACUGACGGCUGGA